rnacentral:lncRNA from 1 species
GUCACGUUUUCAAGACAGCACAUUGGCAUAAGUAGCCACACUGCUACUGAUUAUUAUUGUUCAUUCCGGGAAGUGGCGGAAUCAUGCGACAUGCAGGCCGGGCCGAAACACAUCGUCGGACCCGGCCUGCAUGUCGAAGUACAAACAUUCAAAAUUUAUACGUGGAUUUCAUAUUUCAUCCACGUACAAACGUAUUUGUACGGUAUGAUACUAACAACGUACUUUUUUUUCUUUUUAGGUGGAUGAGACAUUCACACGUCGACGUAAAUAUAACCGUGGCAGGCUCACCACAGAGCACACCGUGGUUAUUUUCGGUGCCG